AGUGAACGCUGGCGGUAGGCCUAACACAUGCAAGUCGAACGGCAGCACAGUAAGAGCUUGCUCUUACGGGUGGCGAGUGGCGGACGGGUGAGGAAUACAUCGGCAUCUUCUUUUUCGUGGGGGAUAACGUAGGGAAACUUACGCUAAUACCGCAUACGACCUACGGGUGAAAUCAGGGGUUCUUCGGACCUUGCGCGAUAGAAUGAGCCGAUGUCGGAUUAGCUAGUUGGCGUGGUAAAGGCCCACCAAGGCGACGAUCCGUAGCUGGUCUGAGAGGAUGAUCAGCCACACUGGAACUGAGACACGGUCCAGACUCCUACGGGAGGCAGCAGUGGGGAAUAUUGGACAAUGGGCGAAAGCCUGAUCCAGCCAUACCGCGUGAGUGAAGAAGGUCUUCGGGUUGUAAAGCCCUUUUGUUGGGAAAGAAAAGCAGUAGGUUAAUACCCCGCUGUUCUGACGGUACCCAAAGAAUAAGCACCGGCUAACUUCGUG
rnacentral:rRNA from 1 species